rnacentral:lncRNA from 1 species
AGCAUUCAAGCUCUGUAACGUGCUCUUCAACGAAAAAGAGGAAGAUCUGCAUUUACUGCUUCCAACUACAUCUUCCCAGCAAUUAAAGCCUCCUUCUCCUGCAUUCAAGUCGACUACUCUUUCAAGAGGAGACCAGAAGUUUAAGAAGCCAUUCCUCAUCUCCAAUCUAAAAGCGUUUGAGGCUUCUUAACUUCAUUUAUUGUUCAUAUUGUUUUCAUCUGCUUUUUGAGAAGCUCAUUUUCUGUUUUCUUUCUACAACUUGUAUUUACUUGGUUCAAUCGGGGAUUGAAUCAAGGGGAUUGAGGUUGGUUGGUGAGCUGAGUUAAAACCAGCGUGUGUAAGGGUUCGAUUGUGAUCCCGGAAAAACAAUCGGGGGUGGUUCUAGUCGGUGAGCCUGGGAAAACCGACCGAGUUCGUUGUGAGCUCGUAAAACAACAAGUUUGGUUGUGAGCUUGGAAAACAACCGGCUGUAAUCCAAGGGGAUUAUAGU